UACGUAGGGUGCAAGCGUUGUCCGGAUUUAUUGGGUUUAAAGGGUGCGUGGGUGGCUGAUUAAGUCAUGGGUGAAAGCCCGCAGCUCAACUGUGGAAUUGCCUGUGAUACUGAUUAGCUUGAGUGCGGUUGAGGCAGCUGGAAUUGGUGGUGUAGCGGUGAAAUGCAUAGAUACCACCAGGAACACCGAUUGCGAAGGCAGGUUGCUAAGCCGUAACUGACACUGAGGCACGAAAGCGUGUGGAGCACACAGG
rnacentral:rRNA from 1 species